rnacentral:ncRNA from 2 species
UACUAUGGGCAGGGGUGCUGGAAUUGGCCGGCUGAGAUUUAGACCCAAAAGUCUAAGACCCUAUUAACCUGAUCUGGAUAAUGCCAGCGUAGGUAAGCAGUUCACUCUUUUA